rnacentral:siRNA from 1 species
AACUCUUCCCAACAAGCCGCCGAC